rnacentral:rRNA from 1 species
GACGAACGCUGGCGGCGUGCCUAAUACAUGCAAGUCGAGCGAAGUUUUUCUGGUGCUUGCUCUAGAAAAACUUAGCGGCGAACGGGUGAGUAACACGUAAAGAACCUGCCUCAUAGACUGGGACAACUAUUGGAAACGGUAGCUAAUACCGGAUAACAGUAUUUCUCGCAUGAGAGAUAUUUAAAAGUUGGUUAUGCUAACACUAUGAGAUGGCUUUGCGGUGCAUUAGCUAGUUGGUGGGGUAAAGGCCCACCAAGGCGACGAUGCAUAGCCGACCUGAGAGGGUGAUCGGCCACACUGGGACUGAGACACGGCCCAGACUCCUACGGGAGGCAGCAGUAGGGAAUCUUCCGCAAUGGGCGAAAGCCUGACGGAGCAACGCCGCGUGAGUGAAGAAGGAUUUCGGUUCGUAAAGCUCUGUUGUUAGGGAAGAAUGGAUAUGUAGUAACUAUACAUGUAAGAGACGGUACCUAACCAGAAAGCCACGGCUAACUACGUG